AGAGUUUGAUCCUGGCUCAGAUUGAACGCUGGCGGAAUGCUUUACACAUGCAAGUCGAACGGCAGCACGGGAGCUUGCUCCUGGUGGCGAGUGGCGAACGGGUGAGUAAUAUAUCGGAACGUAUCCAAUAAUGGGGGAUAACUAAGCGAAAGCUUGGCUAAUACCGCAUACGCCCUGAGGGGGAAAGCUAGGGAUCUUCGGACCUGGCGUUGAUGGAGCGGCCGAUAUCUGAUUAGCUAGUUGGUGGGGUAAAGGCCCACCAAGGCGACGAUCAGUAGCUGGUCUGAGAGGACGACCAGCCACACUGGAACUGAGACACGGUCCAGACUUCUACGGGAGGCAGCAGUGGGGAAUUUUGGACAAUGGGCGCAAGCCUGAUCCAGCCAUUCCGCGUGAGUGAAGAAGGCCUUCGGGUUGUAAAGCUCUUUCGCAAGGGAAGAAAGAUUACGCUCUAACAUAGCGUGAUUAUGACGGUACCUUGAUAAGAAGCACCGGCUAACUACGUGCCAGCAGCCGCGGUAAUACGUAGGGUGCGAGCGUUAAUCGGAAUUACUGGGCGUAAAGCGUGCGCAGGCUGUUUUGUAAGUCAGAUGUGAAAUCCCCGAGCUCAACUUGGGAACUGCGUUUGAAACUACAAGACUAGAAUAUGUCAGAGGGGGGUAGAAUUCCACGUGUAGCAGUGAAAUGCGUAGAGAUGUGGAGGAAUAUCAAUGGCGAAGGCAGCCCCCUGGGAUAAUAUUGACGCUCAUGCACGAAAGCGUGGGGAGCAAACAGGAUUAGAUACCCUGGUAGUCG
rnacentral:rRNA from 1 species